rnacentral:rRNA from 1 species
AGAGUUUGAUCAUGGCUCAGGAUGAACGCUAGCGGCAGGCUUAACACAUGCAAGUCGAGGGGUAUAGGUUUUCGGACCUAGAGACCGGCGCACGGGUGCGUAACGCGUAUGCAUCUNNCUUUUACAGAGGGAUAGCCCAGAGAAAUUUGGAUUAAUACCUCAUAGUAUAAUGACUCGGCAUCGAGAUAUUAUUAAAGUCACAACGGUAAAAGAUGAGCAUGCGUCCCAUUAGCUAGUUGGUAAGGUAACGGCUUACCAAGGCAACGAUGGGUAGGGGUCCUGAGAGGGAGAUCCCCCACACUGGUACUGAGACACGGACCAGACUCCUACGGGAGGCAGCAGUGAGGAAUAUUGGUCAAUGGGCGCAAGCCUGAACCAGCCAUGCCGCGUGCAGGAUGACGGUCCUAUGGAUUGUAAACUGCUUUUGUACAGGAAGAAACAGUUCUACGUGUAGAACCUUGACGGUACUGUAAGAAUAAGGAUCGGCUAACUCCGUGCCAGCAGCCGCGGUAAUACGGAGGAUCCAAGCGUUAUCCGGAAUCAUUGGGUUUAAAGGGUCCGUAGGCGGUUUUGUAAGUCAGUGGUGAAAGCCCGUCGCUCAACGGCGGAACGGCCAUUGAUACUGCAAGACUUGAAUUAUUAGGAAGUAACUAGAAUAUGUAGUGUAGCGGUGAAAUGCUUAGAGAUUACAUGGAAUACCAAUUGCGAAGGCAGGUUACUACUAAUUGAUUGACGCUGAUGGACGAAAGCGUGGGGAGCGAACAGGAUUAGAUACCCUAGUAGUCC